rnacentral:rRNA from 1 species
AUGCCAUGUCUGCCUUUUGGUGGGGAGAUACGGAGGAAGAAAAGAAAAUGCAUUGGGUGGCAUGGUGGAGAAUGCAUCUACCAAAAAUCAGGGGGAGGCAUGGGAUUUAGGGAUCUCCAUGCUUUCAAUUUAGCUAUGCUUGCUAAGCAAAGUUGGAGGCUAUUAUCUAAGCCAGAUAUUUUAUGUGCAAGAGUUCUCCGGGCCAAAUAUUACCUAGAUGGAAACCACCUCAAAGAAGAGCCUAAAAAGAAUUCAUUUUUACAUGGCAAAGUAUUUUUGCGGGACUCCAAACCUUUCGGAGAAGUCAUAUUUGGAGAAUUGGCUCAGGAGAUAAAAUUAGUAUUUGGGACGAUCACUGGAUUCCAUCUAGUCAGACACGUAUGGUUAUCACUAGACGUGGAAAUACUUUGUUGA